rnacentral:rRNA from 1 species
AAAUUGAAGAGUUUGAUCAUGGCUCAGAUUGAACGCUGGCGGCAGGCCUAACACAUGCAAGUCGAACGGUAACAGGAAUCAGCUUGCUGAUUUGCUGACGAGUGGCGGACGGGUGAGUAAUGUCUGGGAAACUGCCUGAUGGAGGGGGAUAACUACUGGAAACGGUA